UGUGAGGGUUGCUGGAGGUAUCAGAAGUGCGAAUGCUGACAUAAGUAACGAUAAAGCGGGUGAAAAGCCCGCUCGCCGGAAGACCAAGGGUUCCUGUCCAACGUUAAUCGGGGCAGGGUGAGUCGACCCCUAAGGCGAGGCCGAAAGGCGUAGUCGAUGGGAAACGGGUUAAUAUUCCCGUACUUGGUGUUACUGCGAAGGGGGGACGGAGAAGGCUAUGUUGGCCGGGCGACGGUUGUCCCGGUUUAAGCGUGUAGGUGUGUGUUCCAGGUAAAUCCGGUUCACUUUAACACUGAGGCGUGACGACGAGGCACUACGGUGCUGAAGCAACAAAUGCCCUGCUUCCAGGAAAAGCCUCUAAGCAUCAGGUAACAUCAAAUCGUACCCCAAACCGACACAGGUGGUCAGGUAGAGAAUACCAAGGCGCUUGAGAGAACUCGGGUGAAGGAACUAGGCAAAAUGGUGCCGUAACUUCGGGAGAAGGCACGCUGACACGUAGGUGAAGUGAUUUACUCAUGGAGCUGAAGUCAGUCGAAGAUACCAGCUGGCUGCAACUGUUUAUUAAAAACACAGCACUGUGCAAACACGAAAGUGGACGUAUACGGUGUGACGCCUGCCCGGUGCCGGAAGGUUAAUUGAUGGGGUCAGCGCAAGCGAAGCUCCUGAUCGAAGCCCCGGUAAACGGCGGCCGUAACUAUAACGGUCCUAAGGUAGCGAAAUUCCUUGUCGGGUAAGUUCCGACCUGCACGAAUGGCGUAAUGAUGGCCAGGCUGUCUCCACCCGAGACUCAGUGAAAUUGAACUCGCUGUGAAGAUGCAGUGUACCCGCGGCAAGACGGAAAGACCCCGUGAACCUUUACUAUAGCUUGACACUGAACAUUGAGCCUUGAUGUGUAGGAUAGGUGGGAGGCUUUGAAGUGUGGACGCCAGUCUGCAUGGAGCCGACCUUGAAAUACCACCCUUUAAUGUUUGAUGUUCUAACGUGGACCCGUGAUCCGGGUUGCGGACAGUGUCUGGUGGGUAGUUUGACUGGGGCGGUCUCCUCCUAAAGAGUAACGGAGGAGCACGAAGGUUGGCUAAUCCUGGUCGGACAUCAGGAGGUUAGUGCAAUGGCAUAAGCCAGCUUGACUGCGAGCGUGACGGCGCGAGCAGGUGCGAAAGCAGGUCAUAGUGAUCCGGUGGUUCUGAAUGGAAGGGCCAUCGCUCAACGGAUAAAAGGUACUCCGGGGAUAACAGGCUGAUACCGCCCAAGAGUUCAUAUCGACGGCGGUGUUUGGCACCUCGAUGUCGGCUCAUCACAUCCUGGGGCUGAAGUAGGUCCCAAGGGUAUGGCUGUUCGCCAUUUAAAGUGGUACGCGAGCUGGGUUUAGAACGUCGUGAGACAGUUCGGUCCCUAUCUGCCGUGGGCGCUGGAGAACUGAGGGGGGCUGCUCCUAGUACGAGAGGACCGGAGUGGACGCAUCACUGGUGUUCGGGUUGUCAUGCCAAUGGCACUGCCCGGUAGCUAAAUGCGGAAGAGAUAA
rnacentral:rRNA from 1 species